AUACGUAGGGGGCGAGCGUUGUCCGGAAUGAUUGGGCGUAAAGGGCGCGUAGGCGGCCUGUUAAGUCUGGAGUGAAAGUCCUGUUUUCAAGAUGGGAAUUGCUUUGGAUACUGAUGGGCUUGAGUGCAGGAGAGGUUAUCGGAAUUCCCUGUGUAGCGGUGAAAUGCGUAGAGAUCGGGAGGAACACCAGUGGCGAAGGCGGGUAACUGGACUGCAACUGACGCUGAGGCGCGAAAGGGUGGGGAGCAAACAGGAUUAGAUACCCUGGUAGUCCACACUGUAAACGAUGAAUGCUAGGUGUAAGAGGUAUCGACCCCUUUUGUGCCGGAGUCAACACAAUAAGCAUUCCGCCUGGGGAGUACGGCCGCAAGGUUGAAACUUAAAUGAAUUGGCGGGG
rnacentral:rRNA from 1 species